AGAUAAAACUGCAGCGGCUGUACGGUUUUUUUGCUCUGGGUUUGAAUCGAUUAAUCGAUGUAAAUUAUUCGUUCGCUUCGAUUAUUGGUUAUGCAGUAUUCGUUCGAUUAAUAAUCGAUUUCUGUAGGAAGUAUUCGAUUAAUCGAUUAAUCGAACGAUUAUCGGGGAUCACUAUUCGUGACUACGAUAAUCUUCCUUUCGCUGUAACGAUUGACCCGGCUUCGAUGUAGAACGGCCGGGCGACGUAGAGGGUUCCUUACGCGGAUUCAGGUGUACUAAACUUCGACGAACGUGUCCACUGUUUGGAAUUCUCUUAAUUCAGUUGCACAAAAACUGGAGAACCAACUUGAAAAGUAGGAACAUUUUCCACCACUUUUGGGAACAAAUUCGCACCAGAAGAUGGAACUCCACAUCGGGUUGCCCGAGAAAAUAAACGAGCUGCCGGACUAGAACCGACCUUGUUCGGUAUGUUUCUCAAGUGAAGCAGCGCGUACCACAAAUCUUCACCCGUUUCUUCAGUCUUCUUCAGCAAACGUUUUGCGAUUUUAACCGCGGCUUCAGACUUACCGUUUGCUUGCUGAUGAUGUGGUGCUGAUGUAGUAUGUUCGAUGCCCCAAUCAGAUGUGAAUUUGGCCAUCUUUUUAUUUACGAAAUUGGAGCCAUUAUCCGUUAGGAUCAGUUGCGGUUUUCCGUGACGAGCGAAAUUCUUGCUACAAGUGUUGAUUACUGAUUCAUUUUCUUUAAGAAUGUCUAACUCGAAGAAGUCUGAGUAAUGAUCGACGGUCACUAGGAACUUCCUGUCACGCCCAAGAUAUUUUCCGAAAAAGACAUCCAUAGACACAAGUUGGAAGGGAUAAACUGGAAUACGAUGACUUAACAUUGGCGGAUUUACUUGAGAAGAAGCGAAUUUCGCACAAACAUUGCACUGCUUUACCACAUCCUUAAUUUGACUGCUCAUUCCUGGCCAAAAUAAAUUAGCUCUAGCUAACUUUAGAGUAGCUUCGAUACCGUUAUGGCUGGUAUGACAUUUGUCAAUCAGUUUGCGUCGUAUUUUGUGUGGCACCAGAAUCUGAUCACCACGAAACACGAUACCGUUCUGGAAACAUAACUCACUUCUAUGAUUAAAAUAAACUUUCACUGCA